AUGAAGAACGUAGCGAAAUGCGAUAAGUAAUGUGAAUUGCAGAAUUCAGUGAAUCAUCGAAUCUUUGAACGCACCUUGCGCCCUUUGGCCAUUCCGAAGGGCAUGCCUGUUUGAGUAUCAUGAACACCUCAACUCUUCAUGGUCUUCUAUGAUGAGCUUGGACUUUGGGGGCUUGCUGGCCCAUUUGGUCAGCUCCUCUCAAAUAAAUCAGCCUACCAGUGUUUGGUGGCACCACAGGUGUGAUAACAAUCUACGCUUGAGGUUUUCCACCAGGCAACCUUCAGUAAUUGGGGUUCACUGGGGCUCACAAAUGUCUUUCUUCAGUGAGGACAGCUCUUUGAAUGUUUGAUCUCACAUCAGGUAGGACUACCCGCUGAACUUAAGCAUAUCAAUAAGCGGAGGA
rnacentral:misc_RNA from 1 species